GACUGAAGCGGUGCCAUGGCUGAAAGCCAGGGGGCACAGGGGGUCCUGUGCCCCAUUGCUGGGUCUCCGGUCACCUUAGGACAGGAAGUGAGGCCGGAGAGGUUCGCCGAGCAGUGACUUCCUCAGAGCUGUGGUGUGACAGGAGGAGGGGACGGGCCCCUCGCUGUUCCCAGCUGUCCCUUGCGAUGAUGAAAGACGUGAGGGGAGCAGAGCUGGCCUCGGGGACCUUCUGCCCUUGGCCUGGGCCUCAGGGAGCACCAGGACCAACGAGAAGCCUUGGUUUCUUCAGUAGGAGAAUUUUAUCAUGUUUUUGCCUCCAUCGUUCAAAGACAUUCCUGGUGAAGUUUGGUCAGUUAUAAUUAAAAGUUGACUCUUUCCUUUUCCCCCCUCCCCUCCCCCCUCCUUCUUCAAAAAGAUGCCAGCUUUGUUGCAGCAUUGUUUAUAGUUGUUAAAUGGGAAACAAGAAAUGUGUGAUGACACAGUACUAAAUAAUGAAAAAAACAAUGGAGUGCUAUUGUUAUGGUUUAGACCUAAAAUGUUCCCCCAAAAGCUUCUGUGUUCAGAGGAUGGUGACCAGAUCAGGAAGCCUCUAAUUUUAUCAAAUGGAUGAACCCACUGAUGAAAUCACAAUCUGAUGACACUGUCAGAAGGUGAUGGAAACAGAAGGUAGGGCCUACUGGAAAGGAGUGCUCCUGGGGGUGUAACUUUGGCAAUUAUCUGCUCAUAGGCUCUUUUCCCCCUGGCUCUUCUCCCUGCUCCCUGGCUGCCACGAGAAAUGAACUUAAAAUAAUUUUCUUCUGAGUUUCACUGCUUAUCUUUAAAAGUUGAACCACCAUUCUUCAUGACUUCAGGACAUUUCUUAGACUUCCUUAGAACGUCUACUAUCCAAAUGAAGUUGAUUUCAGGUAAAAUUUGGCUUAGACACCGAACCAUUUUUUGUGUGAUUUCUGCCUCAUAGCUUGAAUGGAUUUUAAUUGUGCAGGUUUCUUAGGUCCUCGACUUGCUUUACUACCAGAACUUGAAGUAAGGUAAACUGGUCCUGCUGAAUUUUACUGAUUAUAUUCUUCACUUAGAAAAUAAGACACCAGGUUGAGGUCAAGCGUUUUAACAAAAUAACCUGUUCAGUCUGCGUUUAAGUAGGCAGCAAACAGAUACUAAAGUUCCACACAGGCCAACGAAGACAGUUGUGUAUUUGGAAAUACAAUUUAUCACGCUGGCGUUUUCAGUAUAUUCUUGGGCAUUCAAAGAUUUCCUGACUACAGAGCAAUGUCACAAAAACAAAAAACGGAUGACAAAUUCUUGGUUAUUCAUUCAGGCCAGCAGUCAAUGUUUCUAUCAUUUGUAAAAGAAAUUUGCUAGGCUUAGAAAAGGGUUUCAGGCGGCUCCAAUGUAAAAAGCCACCAGGCAUGGUGGCGCAUGCUUGUAAUCCCAGCAGUUGGGAGGCCGAGGAAGGAAGAUGGAGGCAAGUUCAAAGCCAGUCUGAACCGAAUAGGGAGACCCUGCCUCAAAAAAAAAAAAAAAAAAAGUAAAAAACAGCAAUCAGGAGAUAUGAUAAACACUAAGUGUGUACCACUUACUUUGCUCUGGCAAAAUCACUCACACCCGUACAAAUCAAAAGAUAACCAAAGUGGCCAAGGAACCGGCCGACGACGUUCACCUCCAGGGCCGCUUUUCACCACGAACUCCAGUAACAGGACACAGGCCAGCUUGAGCCUCAACGUGACGGAGCUAUCGCAUCGCGGUGUCACGGAGGACUGCAAAGGCGUCGUCUUCGCUUUGACCGGCCGGCUAACAUUUGCAUCAAAGGCUUCUGGACCCUGUCCCGACCCCCGCAGCCCAGCGACACCGGGGAGCGCCCCGUCUGCGCUGCCUUCCCCCUCGGCCGCGGUCGUCAGGUGUCUCGGCGAGUGGACGCACACCCGUGGCCCAAAGCCGUGGUUGGGCAGGCCCAGGAGGCGCUCCUCGCUCGGCGGCAGGACGUCGCGACACUCGCUCCACCAAGUCGCCGUAGCCGUCGCCCCGGCCAAGAGUCCACCCCCUCUGCGCGCCUGCGCAGACCGAGGCCGCGUGGGGUGACGGUAGGGGCCGUCCGCCCCCGCCCCCGGACGAGCUCAGUGCGGCCCGCGGGGGGAGCCGGAUUCCCCGUGCCCGCGGCAGGCUCAUAGGAGGGAAAUGGCAUCCGGCUGUACGUCUGCGGAGCAGGGUGCGCUGGUGUCUGUGUCCUUUGGGGCCGCAGGCUGUAGGAGAGGCUCUUCUUGGCGCCAGCGUCUGGAUUGCUCCCGGGAGCUCCUCCCCCAGCGGCCUGUACGAUG
rnacentral:lncRNA from 1 species